AUGUCUUUGCAGAGUAUGAUUGCUGUUGGCUUGACAACCAAAAUGCAGAGCGUGAGGGUGUUGGUUCUUGACUACACUAAUCUGGAUAUAGUGGUUAACUUCCUCAAGUGCUUCCCCUGCUUGGAGAGGCUGCAUGUCUUUUUCCGGUUCCAGAAGAUGAGUUAUAAUAAUCGGGGGGAGUAUGACCCACCGGAACCGAUUGAAUGUCUUGAGCUGCAUCUCAAAGAAGUAUUGUUUAAUAAUUAUGGCGGCACCGUCCCUUUGUGUAUUGACUUCGCCAAGUUCUUUGUUUUGAAUGCGAAAGUGCUAAAGGAAAUGAAAAUCACAUUGCCUUACCACCGGCAGUACAACUGGUUUGCUAAUCAACACCGGCUGCUGCGGACCAAAGAUAGAAUUUCUCAAGAUGCUCGGAUUGAACUGAGAUGCGGCAAUAAUGUUUAUUUCAGAGACAACAGGAACACCCAUGAUUUGUCAAUGGCUGAUCCUUUUGACGUGCCCUCCAGCGGAUGCAAAAAGUGUAGUGGAUCCCCAUUUUGA
rnacentral:rRNA from 1 species